rnacentral:rRNA from 1 species
AUGUUUGAUCCAAGAAUCUGGGAUUCUCUUGAUUCUAAACAUAUUGAUAUCUUAGCAAAGGGCCCAAGAAGAGACUCAUUAAUUAAGAAAGGUCCUAAAGAUAGAUAAUGUAAAAGGUUUAUUGUAGUAUUCUAUACUAGAUGUCUAUCAAUAUGGGGAGUAUAUUGUGAUAGAGAUUGACUUGUCUAUUCUAAGGAACUCGAUAGAGUCUUUUGCUUUGGAUGUAAAUUAUUUACAAAAGGUCAUCGGAAAGGUCAGCUGGAAAAUGCAGGUUGUAAUGAUUGGUCACAUAUGACCAAUAGACUAAAAGAUCACGGGACAAGUGUUGAUCAUGUUUUGAGUAUGACUAAUUGGUAUGAGCUGCGUAGUAGAUUGAAAAACCAAACUAUUGAUAAAGCUUCUCAACGAUAACUUAAGAAAGAGAAGGCCCAUUGGAGAAAGGUAUUCAGAAUUGUUUGCAUUGUAAUAUUUCUAGCCAAGCAUAAUCUAGCUUUCCGUGGUAUUAAUGGCAAGUUGUAUGAAGAUAAGAAUGGUAAUUUCUUGGGUUUGGUAGAAAUGUUGGCUGAAUUUGACCUUGUUAUUCAGGAGCAUGUCGUCGUAUUAAAAAUGACGAAAAUCAUGCUCAAUAUGCUAAUCGUAAGAUUCAGAUUUCCACACUUGGUUGCUUCUUCUAUUAAGUCCAAAAUUAUCGAGAAAACAAGGAGUUCAAAGUAUUUAUCUAUCAUACUUGAUUAUGUAAAUGAUACAACUAGACAAGGACUUUCUGAUGUCCUAGAAGAAGAGCUAAAACUUCUUGAUCUUGAUAUAGAUGAUGUGAGAGGACAAGGUUAUGAUAAUUGGUAAAAUAUGAAAGGAAGGCAUCAAGGGGUAUAAAAGAAACUUUUGGGUGUAAAUCCUAGAGCUUCUCAUUCUGAUUGUGGUUUUCAUAGCCUUAAUUUAACACUUUGUGAUGUGGACAAGACUUGUGGUUGAGGAAAAGACCUUUUUGGAAUCAUCAAACACAUCUUCAUUUUUGCGAAUUCUACAAAGAAAUGGCAUGUUUUGAAAGAAAACGUAUCAGGAUUGACUCUCAAGUCCGUGUCAACUACGCGUUGGGAGAGUCGUGUUGAAAGUGUUAAAGCUAUUAGAUUUCAAUGUUCAGACAUUCGGGAGGCUCUACUUUAGGUAUUUAAAACUAAUAGUGAUCCAGGGACAAGAAGUGAGGCUCUAGGUUUGGCAAAAAAAGAACAUGGAGAGUAUGAAUUUGUCGACGCAAUAGUCAGUUGGUAUGAGGUAUUGUCUGUUGUUAAUUUAGUAAGCAAAAACUUGCAAGCAAAUGAUAUGCUUAUUAAUGUUGCUAUUGAGAAAGUGAAAGGGCUUAUUUCUUUCUUCUAGGGUAGAGAAGCUGGUUUCUUAGAAGCAUUGGAGAUAUCCAAAGAAAUUGCACUUGAGAUGGAUAAAUGUGCAGCAUUUCAUGAAAGAAGAAAUAUUAAGAGAAAGAAACCGUUUGAUGUGAAACCAAAUGACACAAAUAUUGCCACACAGUUUGUAGAGGAAUCAUUUAGAAUCAACUUUUUUAUACCUCUUUUUGAUCAAGCAAUUUCCUCACUCACAAGGAGAUUUGAGCAAUAUCAGGGUUACCAAAAAAUUGGUUUCUUAUUAACCUCUGAAACAUUGUGCUCAUUGGAUAAGGAUAGUUUGAAAUCUUCUUGUGUUAAUCUUGAGGCUGCCCUUACGAAGGAUAAAAAAUCUGAUAUUGAUGCCAAUGAUCUAUUUGUUGAGUUGAAGUUUCUCCAAAAUUUCGUGCCAAAAGAAAAUAUCAGACCUAUUGAAAUUAUGAAUUUUUGA